rfam:Burkholderiales bacterium 68-12 scnpilot_p_inoc_scaffold_222, whole genome shotgun sequence.
GCCUUGUGCCUGAAAGGGCGACGGCUUUGCCGGAGCGAGAAGUCAGCAGAGGUCGUAGUAGCUGGAGUAGCGGGGCUGCCGAGGUCAGUAGCGAGAGGCGAAGGAC